ACCCGCUGAACUUAAGCAUAUCAAUAAGCGGAGGAAAAGAAACCAACAGGGAUUGCCCUAGUAACGGCGAGUGAAGCGGCAACAGCUCAAAUUUGAAAUCUGGCGUCUUUGGCGUCCGAGUUGUAAUUUGCAGAGGGCGCUUUGGCAUUGGCAGCGGUCCAAGUUCCUUGGAACAGGACGUCACAGAGGGUGAGAAUCCCGUACGUGGUCGCUAGCCUUUACCGUGUAAAGCCCCUUCGACGAGUCGAGUUGUUUGGGAAUGCAGCUCUAAAUGGGAGGUAAAUUUCUUCUAAAGCUAAAUACUGGCCAGAGACCGAUAGCGCACAAGUAGAGUGAUCGAAAGAUGAAAAGCACUUUGGAAAGAGAGUUAAAAAGCACGUGAAAUUGUUGAAAGGGAAGCGCUUGCAGCCAGACUUGCCUGUAGUUGCUCAUCCGGGUUUUUACCCGGUGCACUCUUCUAUAGGCAGGCCAGCAUCAGUUUGGGCGGUUGGAUAAAGGUCUCUGUCAUGUACCUCUCUUCGGGGAGAACUUAUAGGGGAGACGACAUGCAACCAGUCCGGACUGAGGUCCGCGCAUCUGCUAGGAUGCUGGCGUAAUGGCUGU
rnacentral:rRNA from 1 species